UACAGAGGUCUCAAGCGUUGUUCGGAUUCAUUGGGCGUAAAGGGUGUGUAGGUGGCGCGCUAAGUCGGGUGUGAAAUUUCGGAGCUUAACUCCGAAACUGCAUUCGAUACUGGCGUGCUUGAGGACUGGAGAGGAGACUGGAAUUCAUGGUGUAGCAGUGAAAUGCGUAGAGAUCAUGAGGAAGACCAGUGGCGAAGGCGGGUCUCUGGACAGUUCCUGACACUGAGACACGAAGGCCAGGGGAGCAAACGGGA
rnacentral:rRNA from 1 species